rnacentral:rRNA from 1 species
GACGAACGCUGGCGGCGUGCUUAACACAUGCGAGUCGAACGGUAAGGCCCUUCGGGGUACACGAGUGGCGAACGGGUGAGUAACACGUGGGUGAUCUGCCCUGCACUUCGGGAUAAGCCUGGGAAACUGGGUCUAAUACCGGAUAGGACCACUGCCUGCAUGGGUGGUGGUGGAAAGCUUUUGCGGUGUGGGAUGGCGGCCCGCGGCCUAUCAGCUUGUUGGUGGGGUGAUGGGCUACCAAGGCGACGACGGGUAGCCGGCCUGAGAGGGUGACCGGCCAAACUGGGACUGAGAUACGGCCCAGACUCCUACGGGAGGCAGCAGUGGGGAAUAUUGCACAAUGGGCGCAAGCCUGAUGCAGCGACGCCGCGUGAGGGAUGACGGCCUUCGGGUUGUAAACCUCUUUCAGCACCGACGAAGCGCAAGUGACGGUAGGUGCAGAAGAAGGACCGGCCAACUACGUGCCAGCCGCCGCCGUAA